GCCGAGCUCAGCAGCGCGAGCUUGUAACCCGAGCGGGGCCAUUAAGGUGGUGUGGACGUGUUGCCGUAUGGCUGCUCGCCUGUUUGCAGUGCCAUAGAUGGUCCGCCCGUUUCGAGUUUUGCGUAGCUGGGACGGCGGGGCUUGGGCGAAAGCUCUGGUCCUCACGGUUCCUAGAGUGGCAGGCGUUUCGUCAUUUUUUUUUUCUGAUGCUUUCGUUUGGAAAAAAAAAAGAAUAACAACUGCCAACUAAUAAUCAAUAUGGCAUUCUUGCUUAAAAAUUUGAAGACUAAUUGA
rnacentral:SRP_RNA from 1 species